rnacentral:rRNA from 1 species
AGAGUUUGAUCCUGGCUCAGGAUGAACGCUGGCGGUAUGCUUAACACAUGCAAGUCGAACGGAAUCCUUAGGGAUUUAGUGGCGGACGGGUGAGUAACGCGUGAGAAUCUGCCUUCAGGUUCGGGACAACCACUGGAAACGGUGGCUAAUACCGAAUGCGCAGCAAUGUGAAAAAUUUAUUGCCUGGAGAUGAGCUCGCGUCUGAUUAGCUAGUAGGUGUGGUAAGAGCGCACCUAGGCGACGAUCAGUAGCUGGUCUGAGAGGAUGAUCAGCCACACUGGGACUGAGACACGGCCCAGACUCCUACGGGAGGCAGCAGUGGGGAAUUUUCCGCAAUGGGCGAAAGCCUGACGGAGCAAUACCGCGUGAGGGAGGAAGGCUCUUGGGUUGUAAACCUCUUUUCUCAGGGAAGAAUAAAUGACGGUACCUGAGGAAUAAGCAUCGGCUAACUCCGUGCCAGCAGCCGCGGUAAUACGGAGGAUGCAAGCGUUAUCCGGAAUGAUUGGGCGUAAAGCGUCCGCAGGUGGCUAUGUAAGUCUGCUGUUAAAGAGUCUGGCUCAACCAGAUAAAGGCAGUGGAAACUACAUGGCUAGAGUGCGUUCGGGGCAGAGGGAAUUCCUGGUGUAGCGGUGAAAUGCGUAGAGAUCAGGAAGAACACCGGUGGCGAAAGCGCUCUGCUAGGCCGCAACUGACACUGAGGGACGAAAGCUAGGGGAGCGAAUGGGAUUAGAUACCCCAGUAGUCCUAGCCGUAAACGAUGGAUACUAGGCGUGGCUUGUAUCGACCCGAGCCGUGCCGUAGCUAACGCGUUAAGUAUCCCGCCUGGGGAGUACGCAGGCAACUGUGAAACCCAAAGGAAUUGACGGGGGCCCGCACAAGCGGUGGAGUAUGUGGUUUAAUUCGAUGCAACGCGAAGAACCUUACCAGGACUUGACAUGUCGCGAAUCUUUGUGAAAGCAGAGAGUGCCUUCGGGAGCGCGAACACAGGUGGUGCAUGGCUGUCGUCAGCUCGUGUCGUGAGAUGUUGGGUUAAGUCCCGCAACGAGCGCAACCCUCGUUUUUAGUUGCCAGCAUUAAGUUGGGCACUCUAGAGAGACUGCCGGUGACAAACCGGAGGAAGGUGGGGAUGACGUCAAGUCAGCAUGCCCCUUACGUUCUGGGCUACACACGUACUACAAUGCUACGGACAAAGGGCAGCAAGCAUGCGAAUGCAAGCUAAUCUCAUAAACCGUGGCUCAGUUCAGAUCGCAGGCUGCAACUCGCCUGCGUGAAGGAGGAAUCGCUAGUAAUUGCAGGUCAGCAUACUGCAGUGAAUUCGUUCCCGGGCCUUGUACACACCGCCCGUCACACCAUGGAAGCUGGUAGUGCCCGAAGUCAUUACCCCAACCGCUUGCGGAGGGGGAUGCCUAAGGCAGGACUGGUGACUGGGGUGAAGUCGUAACAAGGUAGCCGUACCGGAAGGUGUGGCUGGAUCACCUCCU